CUCCUCCCGGCCGGCCUCCCGGCACGCCGAGCCCGGGCGGCGCGCUCCGCCACACAAUAAAUAACAAUAGAGCGCUCCGCGCGCCGCCGCCGCCCGGGGAGCGCGCGCGCGCCCGCCCCGCGCGCCGCCCGCGCCCCCGCGCGCCGCCCCGCGCCGCCGCGCCCGCGGCCCGGGGGCGCCCGCCCGCCCGCGGAGGGACAUGUUGUUAUUUUUUGCUGUUGUCAGUCUCUGACGUCACAUCCACCUGCUGGCGGGAUCUUUGGAGGCGGCAGGGAAAGCGCCGGGGCUGCGUCGCCGGGAAGGCACAACCGUCAAAAAGUGCCACGAUCAACCUGCCGCAGCAGCCCAGCGCGCCCGGCUGAAGUACAGCUCAUCGCACCGACGUGUGACCAAAACUAGCUUAAAAAAACACUUGGAGUCAAAGCUUUGGUUGUUUUGCUUGAUCUUUUUGCUUGUAUCUGUCUUCGGUAGGGAGAUAAAGGAGAUGAAACUGCUAAAAAGCACUUUUCAAAGCUCCCCCCCUUCACUGUUCUGAAAAGUAUUUGUUUUACAUUUCAUCCUGGAAUAAACAUUGUUUAUUGGAAA